UGUGUGUGGCCUGCUUAUGUUAUUUUUUUGGAGCUUUACUUUACAAGUGUUCAGCAGCCUGAGGGCCCUUUCUCUCCAUUUUGUUUUGUGUGUUGUCUUCAGAUUGGAUCUUGACUAGAACUACUUUUUCUUCAUUGGUGGCUUUAAAACUCACAAGGUGAACUGUGACCCUGAAAGAUCAAAAGGAAUCCCCUCCAGAGUCCUCAUUCUGGAGGAAGCAAACUGCCAUGCUGUAAACUGCCCUAUGGAUAUUUCCACAUCGCGAGAAAUUAAAGGUGGUCUCUGGCCAAUAGCCAGCAAGAACCUGAACCAUCAAACAAUUACCCAAAUGGAAUCCUGCCAAGAACUAUGUGAGUGAGCUUAGAGUUUGAUCCUCACAGAGGCAAGACACCUUGAUUGCAGCCUACCAGGGAUCUGGAGUCAGAGGACCCAGUUUAGCUGCUCUCAGAUUCCAGAUCCACAGAAAGCAGGGGGUAGUAAAUGUUUGUCAUUGGAAGACACUAAGUUUUGGGGUAAUUUGUUAUGCAGCCAAAGGUAAUGAACACAGUGUCCCUCUCUUCUUGUGAUAUAAGGGUGGUGGUGCUGCAGAUAUUUCCAUCUAAGUCAGUCAAGUUAGGAAAGAAAAAAAAAAAAAAAAAAACCUCUCCGAGGAAAUCUUAUUGCCGUGGCAACAGUUACUGUUUUUCUUUGUCCAAUGUAAACACUGGAUAAGAAUCCCAGUAGUUCUUAGCCCACAAUUUCCCCCAUUAAAAGGGGAAUUAAAUGUUGAGGGAAGCGUAGCUAGUAGGCCUCUCAUAUGGCCUUUGGGCCAGGAUUCAUACCACAGUGGUUUCUCCCGCAUUCCAGUACUUACUUCAGGACUCAGUAGAAGAAACAGUAUGGGGAGUUAUUACUUAGUCUUUGGCCAGAAGAAUGGUGGUAAAUGCAAGCCACUUAGAUCUCCCACUUCUAGCCAAAUAAAGAGAAUAUUACUUUCAAAAAGAGAAAUGGGAGUGGGGAAAACAAGCUGAAUCCUUUGUGUUUGUUAAAUGCUCCAUCCACUGACAUGAAGCUGUCUCAUUGGCCCCUCACUGAUUUACACUUGAGGUGGUCAAAGUAUAUUUUUGUGAUUUUGGCCUUGUAUUCAAAAUAUUAAGGGUAACUAUCAGAGAAGUGACCAUUCAGAUACACAAAUUUGGGGGCAACAGAAGUAGGGUGAGAACUGAGUGUUCAUUUCCCCAUAGCUAAGCCUUUCUUUUCCAUGGCCCCUCUCUACUGAGUAGACAUCUCUCCAGCUAACAUUUCUGUCCUUCCCUGGUAAUAUGGAAGUACCACUUCAGGGACAGUGCCCCUGGGCCACCACCGGCUCCACAAAGUUCAUAUGUCUUUCCCAGGAAUUUCUGCCCUUACGUCCCAGAGACUGUUCACAUUUUACAAAUUGAGGUCAUUCUUGAAACUUGUUUAUACACCAGCACUUUUUAAAACUUGAUGUCCCCAGAGCUACACAGGAACAGAGUUAGUGUUCAGAAUCACAGGCCCUGCAUCUCAGAAAUUCUGACUCAUUAGAACUGAAAUGGGGCCCAAGACUGCAUUUUUCCAAGCAUUUCCAUGCAAUUGAUUCUGUUGGAGGUGAUACACAGCCAUCUUUGAUGAAUGGCCUGGAAAACUCUUUAUCAGAACUGUGCUGUAACAAAGAGCUGAAAGAUACACAUGAGCACAUAUAGGAACACAGACACACAGAGGAGUAUCUUGUUAUAUGCAGUAAAUUGUUUCUAAAAAGGUUGUAUGUGUAUCACAUUUUAUAUAUCAGUUCACAUGUGAAAUGCUUGGCAUUCACAUGGCAUUUCCUUUCAGGAAAAGGACUGUACCUUCAAGUUAUUUCAUCCGUAGCACCUAGCAUGGUGCCUGGCACUUGGUAUUGGUUGAACUAGUAUUCAUUGAAUGAAUGACUGACUAUUCAAUUUGUUCAAAGUGAGGGUAAGUCCAAGGGUAAUGGGAUGAUAAGUCAGCAUAUUCAAUGUACAGCAAAGUAUCUUAACAUCAUUUACUCCUAUCUCCAUUUAAUAAUGAUAAUGUACUGCUCUUAUUUUAUGUUUCAGAAGGGUGAAAACAAAAUAUAAGAGGGACACUGAAACAGCUCU